AAGUCGUAACAAGGUUUCCGUAGGUGAACCUGCGGAAGGAUCAUUAUAGUAGAGGCCUUUGGCCUUCACGAGAUGCAACCCUUGUCUUUUUGUGAACCUUUUGUUUCCUCGGCAGCUCCGCCUGCCAACGAGGACCCCCCAAAAACCUUUUGCAAUCCUAGUACAACAUUCUGAAAACAAAACAAUAUUAAAACUUUCAACAAUGGAUCUCUUGGCUCUG
rnacentral:misc_RNA from 1 species